CCUACGGGAGGCAGCAGUGGGGAAUCUUGGACAAUGGGCGAAAGCCUGAUCCAGCAAUGCCGCGUGUGGGAAGAAGGCCUUCGGGUUGUAAACCACUUUUGGCAGGAAAGAAAUCGUUUGCGAUAAUACCGCGAAUGGAUGACGGUACCUGCAGAAUAAGCACCGGCUAACUACGUGCCAGCAGCCGCGGUAAUACGUAGGGUGCGAGCGUUAAUCGGAAUUACUGGGCGUAAAGCGUGCGCAGGCGGUUGGAAAAGAUAGAUGUGAAAUCCCUGGGCUCAACCUAGGAAUUGCAUUUAUGACUAUCCGACUAGAGUACGGUAGAGGGGAGUGGAAUUCCGCGUGUAGCAGUGAAAUGCGUAGAUAUGCGGAGGAACACCGAUGGCGAAGGCAGCUCCCUGGACCUGUACUGACGCCUCAUGCACGAAAGCGUGGGGAGCAAACAGGAUUAGAUACCCUGGUAGUCCACGCCCUAAACGAUGUCGACUAGUUUGUUUGGACGGGAAACUGUUCAGUAACGAAGCUAACGCGUGAAGUCGAACCGCCUUGGGGAGUACGGCCGCAAGGUUAAACUCAAAGGAAUUGACGG
rnacentral:rRNA from 1 species